AUGAUCAAAGCUGAAGCUUUACAUAGUCUUGCAAAUAAAGUUUUUGAAGACAUAAGUGUUACUUGCCUUCAACGAUUUCAUUUGGAAUCUUUACCCAAAAAGACACCAUUAGGAGCACCAAGUGGAAUACCUCAAGUUGGAAAACAGAAAAGCAUUGCGCAUGCAAGGUUCCGUCACACUCUUCCGGGUGGAGGUAGACAAUAUAAUUCCUCAAUCAUAAUACCACAAUUUCUAGACAAAAAUGUGGCUUCAAGUUCUAAGGAUAUUGGUGUUGGUGCAUGA